CCUACGGGUGGCAGCAGUGGGGAAUAUUGGGCAAUGGGCGCAAGCCUGACCCAGCAACGCCGCGUGAAGGAAGAAGGCGUUCGGGUUGUAAACUUCUUUUCUCAGGGACGAAGAAAGUGACGGUACCGGAGGAAUAAGCCACGGCUAACUACGUGCCAGCAGCCGCGGUAAUACGUAGGGGGCAAGCGUUAUCCGGAUUUAUUGGGUGUAAAGGGCGUGUAGGCGGGAGCGCAAGUCAGAUGGGAAAACUCAGGGCUCAACCCUGAGCCUGCAUUUGAAACUGUGUUUCUUGCGUGCUGGGGAGGCAAUCGUCCUUCCGUGUGUAGCGGUGAUAUGCGUAGAUAUACGGCGGAACCCCAGUGGCGACGGCGGAUUGCUGGACAGUAACUGACGCUGUGGCGCGAAAGCGUGGGGAGCAAACAGGAUUAGAUCCCCGGGUAGUC
rnacentral:rRNA from 1 species